rnacentral:rRNA from 1 species
UAGUCCACGCCGUAAACGAUGUCAACUAGCCGUUGGAGGGGUUACCCUUUAGUGACGCAGCUAACGCGAUAAGUUGGCCGCCUGGGGAGUACGGUCGCAAGAUAACCUCAAAGGAAUUGACGGGGGCCCGCACAAGCGGUGGAGCAUGUGGUUUAAUUCGAUGCAACGCGAAGAACCUUACCUACCCUUGACAUUGACAGAAUCCUGUAGAGAUACGGGAGUGCCUUCGGGCCUGGAAAACGGGUGCUGCAUGGCUGUCGUCAGCUCGUGUCGUGAAAUGUUGGGUUAAGUCCCGUAACGAGCGCAACCCUUGUUCUUAGUUGCCAGCACGUAAUGGUGGGGACUCUAAGGAGACUGCCGGUGACAAACCGGAGGAAGGUGGGGACGACGUCAAGUCAUCAUGGCCCUUAUGGGUAGGGCUACACACGUGCUACAAUGGGAAGUACAGAGGGUCGCAAAGCCGCGAGGUGGAGCUAAAUCCCAGAAAACUUUUCGUAGUCCGGAUUGCACUCUGCAACUCGAGUGC